CACGUAGGGCGCAAGCGUUGUCCGGAAUCAUUGGGCGUAAAAGCGCGCGUAGGUGGCUUCAUAAGUCCGUUUGUGAAAGUCAAAGGCUCAACCUUUGAAAGCCGAUGGAUACUGUGGAGCUAGAGUACGGAAGAGGCGAGUGGAAUUCCUGGUGUAGCGGUGGAAUGCGCAGAUAUCAGGAGGAACACCAAUAGCGAAGGCAGCUCGCUGGGACGUUACUGACGCUGAGACGCGAAAGCGUGGGGAGCAAACAGG
rnacentral:rRNA from 1 species